rnacentral:rRNA from 1 species
UACGGGGGGUGCAAGCGUUAAUCGGAAUUAUUGGGCGUAAAGCGUUUGUAGGCGGGCGAGUGUGUUUAAUGUUAAAUCUUAAAGCUCAACUUUGAAAUUGCGUUAAAAACUGCUUGUCUUGAGUAUGGUAGGGGUAAAGGGAAUUCCCAGUGUAGCGGUGAAAUGCGUAGAUAUUGGGAAGAACACUAAACAGCGAAGGCACUUUACUAGGCUAAUACUGACGCUGAGAAACGAAAGGUAAGGUAGCGAAACGGAUUAGAUACCCGUGUAGUCUUACCCGUAAACUAUGGACACUAAACGGUAAAUUUUUAAUUUACUGUUAAAGCUAACGCGUUAAGUGUCCCGCCUGGGGAGUAUGCUUGCAAAAGUGAAACUCAAAGGAAUUGACGGGGGCCCGCACAAGCGGUGGAGCAUGUGGUUUAAUUCGACGGUACACGAAGAACCUUACCAGGAUUUGACAUGCUAGAUAGUUGCUUGAAAGAGUAACGUGCCGUAAGGAAUCUAGACACAGGUGGUGCAUGGCUGUCGUCAGUUCGUGUUGUGAAAUGUUGGGUUAAGUCCCGCAACGAACGCAACCCUUGUCUUUAGUUAUUUUCUAAAGAGACUGCCUGUAAUAAACAGGAGGAAGGUAAGGAUGAGGUCAAGUCAUCAUGCCCCUUAUGUCCUGGGCUACACACGUGCUACAAUGGGAAAGACAAUGAGCUGCAAAUCUGUAAAUUUAAGCAAAUCUCUUAAACUUUCUCGUAGUUCGGAUUGUGGGCUGCAACUCGCCCACAUGAAGUUGGAAUCGCUAGUAAUCGCCAGUCAGCUAUAUGGCGGUGAAUCCGUUCCCGGGCCU